AUUUUGGGUGAGAGAGGGUUACACGCUGCACCGGUCGCCAGCCAAUUGCAGAAAAAACACUGCAAAAUUUAGAGUCUGCAGUUAACACACUCAAAAAAAUGGAAAAGGGGGGUCUUUAAAUUUACAAAAGUGAACACAAGUCAUUUAUAUCUUGAUUAAACAAGUAGACUUAACAUGUUUAUAAUGAAUGGUGAAUGUACUCGAUACUUUCACAAUGAGUGAAGUUAAUCCAAAAAAAACAAAAACUCAAUGUAAUCUUGCUUUGCUGUCGCCGUAAGUUCCGCCCCUUGGAAUAGGAAGAGGCGGCAGAAGUUUGAGCACAGAAACGAGGAAGAAGAAGAGUUUAAGCAGGAAGCCCGCAUGAUUUGCCAUUACGCGCGAAGAAGAAGAAGAUCAGGAACAACCUUGAAUGGGCUGUGUUUUUCAGCAAGAAGCCACCUGACACCUAUCUUUAGAACACUGAAAAUGAGGAGAGCCUGGAAUCCAUGCAAAAAGCUUUACUCCUGGAUGUACACAAUAGGAAUAACCGAGAGGCUGUGAAGUUCAAGAUGGAAAAGACUUUAGCAUAUCAAAGACAUGAGGUUGUCUGUGAGUCCUUGAAGGCCUGCUUUGUAUAAAGUCAGCGAGAUCAAUUCUGAAUUCAAAAGGAUCACCGCUUCCGUCCAAGUUCCUGUCUCAGGUGGAUCUUUACUCAGCUGCGAUGACGUAGCUCUUCCGAAGGAGAGGACAGCAAGGGGCAAAGCUUAAACGAAUCACUGCAGAAUUAACUAAUAGUCUGGCUAUGAGCAAACUGGAUGGGGCCAUUGAAAACAUAGCAGUUGGAAUCUACGUUGUUAAACAAGCUUCAACUAACGAAGUAGAGGACAUUGGCAUCGUUCUUGAGGAUAUUCAAGGUUUUGGACAAUUUGAAUAAUGUAGUAUCAUUGGCUGUUGCUACGCUGUUUGGACUUAGGCAUGCCGUGAACCUCAGCUACCCUCCUGACCUCAGCUACACUUUUGAGGUAAUCCAAAACAUUUGGAUGGAGCCGGAUGAAUAAACGAAGCACUCGUCUCAAAAAAUAGGGUCUUUCUUUGAUGUGCGGGGGCAUGUGCGUGUGCAUGUGUCUGACAAAUCAAAUAGAUUUGCUGUUAUUUUAAAUGGUUUUUCAGGGUUAACCAUCCAUCCAUCUAUUUUCUACCGCCUGUCUUUCUCGUGGUUGACCUUCGUUUUGUUAGAAAAGUUGUAACACUACUGCCUUUUAUUUGCGGAACUGUGCACACAGUCUGGAUAUGAACACACUCGAUGGGGCCAUUGAAAACACCACAGUUGGAAUAGUUGAACAGGCUUCAAUUAAUGAAGUAGAGGACUUUGGCAUUGUUCUUAAAGGGGAAUUGCAGUUUUUUGGGGAAUGUUACCUAUCGUUCACAACCCUUAUGUAAGACAAGAAGACACGUUUUUUGGGGGGCGGGGAUUACAUUCUAAUUUGUAGGUGGCUCGCAAUACUGCUAAUGGAAGCAAUUAAUUCUGCCUCAUGCAAGCUUGGUUCUAUAAACAGCAGUUCAUCCUACGUAUAUUCAGGUUCAAAAAGAUAAUGUUGUGAAUCCUUCAAAUUGGCUAAAAUUGAUUUAAAUAUUUAGCUAAUCUUACUUUUUUUUUUCCCUCUAAUUCCCCAGCCAUAAACCUUAGUCAUAUAACUUGGUAUGUGACACAUGGUAACUGUUAGUAUGCUAACGUUAACAUGCUAGCAUGCUGAUACUUGGCCCCAUCUUGAAAGUAUGCCAACAUCUCAUAUUAGCAUGCAAAUGUUAGCGUGUUAACGUUUUAGGCUAACUCAGUAGCUCAUUUUGUACUCUUACACCUAAAACUCACGGAUUUGGACACUCUGCACCAUCUUAAAAGUAUGGCGGCUUUCACCGACCCUUGGCUAGAGGUUCAGGGCACAAAUAGCCGGCCCAUCAAAAUUUUUGGCUACAAUUUGUGUCGUUUCUCAUUCUAUUAUUUUGUCAAAAACAAU